AGACUAUUGCAGAGACCCACAGUUACUUAAACUGCAGAGAAUGGGUGACUGUGAGAUGCUCAACCCCACUGAUACAUCUGCAAUGCAACCUCUACAUCUAAAGGCUUAGAGGAAAUGAUGAGACGGGAAGUGGGAAGAUUGUAAGGGCCAGAGAAGCAGGACACCUACUGUGAGGAGGGGAACAGGCCGUGGAAUUGGAUAACUUGAGUUCAAGUGCACGUCAAUAAUGAUUUCAACAUGUGAAGUGCACAAAGAAAUUUCAUUUCAAGCUAUGUACAGGACACUUAAUUAUACUUGAAAGUAAAUAUUCAAAUGUGACCAGAAUCCUCACAGAACGUACAGCUUGUAUGACCACCCUGGAUUAUUGAUUAUUUAUGAGGCUGGAUUCCUAAACUGAAUAAAGAGAAGAGCUGCACACAACCAUCCUUUGCUGUCUGAACCCUGAGCCCAGAUACAUUGUAACAAGCUGCUUCCUCUUUGUGCUGCCCUGUACCCCUUCAUGAUGGACUGCACUCCCUGGAACUGUAAGCCAAAUAAGCCCUUCCUUUCUUAAGUUGCUUUUGUUACAUAUUUUUGUUGCAGCAAUAAAAGGAGCAACUGGUACGCAAGCAGUCACAGACUUUACAUGGCCACAAAUUCAAUCAGAUCUUAAACAUCAUGAAGCUCCAUCCUUUCAUAAGAGGUUGCUCUGACCUUCCGUCUUCUAAGUCACUCUGCUCCUCAUUGUCCUAUGUUUGUUUAUCAAUCCCACCCACAGUGAAACUGCAAGAAUCUCUGCUACCACUUUCUCUUCUUUAUUACAACUUGCAGCCAACUACCAACUCAAGUCUCAGAUUCUCAAAGCAUGCUUUCAGUUGA